AUUCUACCUGGCAGUAGCUGCACCAUGAUCAGACAGGGCGAGGCUCAUCCCCUGCACUCCGGGUGUGCUGACCCCUGCGAUUUCCCCAAAUGCGGGAAACUCGACUGCAUAAUUUGUGGUAGUGGGGGACUGUGUUUUUUUCUUAAUUGUUUUCACCUU
ensembl:snRNA U1 U1 spliceosomal RNA